AGCCAAAUUUUUUACUAGAUCGAAUACUAAUACAACUCUAUGUCCUAGUGUCUUAGUGUAAUAAAUUAAGCAUUUUCUGUGUGGAUCCUUAGACUUCUCAAUUGAAAAUCAAGGUUUUUAAAUAAAGAAGAAAGACCUAAAAGCAAAAUUUUCCAAGAAUUUGUACGUCCACCAAAAAGCAAGGGCCAUUAUUGAAUAACACCAAAAU
rnacentral:lncRNA from 1 species